AUUCACCUGACUCUAGUUGCGAAAAAAGGUCUUUCCAUUGCAGUUUUGCGUGAUAUACCAUUUUUGCGCUACGCCCGAAAAACCACCUCUUGCCAGCGCAAAAACUUUUAAUCAAAAAAUGACA